ACAGGCAGUGAUGACACACUUGCCCUCACUGAGAUCCAUUGGAGGGGUUGUUUUUGAGAACUUUCUCUAUGCUCAGU
rnacentral:snoRNA from 1 species